GACGAUUACACCGGUUUUUCAGUGGAUUUGUAUUCUCGUGGUCGGUUCCGAACAUUACUCCGCCGCGUUCUAAGUAGAGACGCAGAUCUUAUAAUGCCGAAAAGAGGACGGCCAAGCAAUUCGCAGCAAACCCAGCAAGAUGAAAAUUCAGUCGUGGGUUCAGCUUCCUGAUGGUAACUGGGAGCUGGGGACAGUUCUUCAGGCUACUGGUAAUGAUUCAGUGAUAACAUCGCCUGAGGGAAAAGGGUGCAAAAUUUUGGUUUCCAUUAUUGUUUUUUCUUGAACUGUUACCUUGUGGCUUUCAUUAACAAUUUUCCUUGUGUAGGUACUGAA